UACAGAGGUCUCAAGCGUUGUUCGGAUUCAUUGGGCGUAAAGGGUGCGUAGGCGGCGCGGUAAGUCGGGUGUGAAAUCUCGGAGCUUAACUCCGAAACUGCAUUCGAUACUGCCGUGCUUGAGAACUGGAGAGGAGACUGGAAUUUACGGUGUAGCGGUGAAAUGCGUAGAUAUCGUAAGGAAGACCAGUGGCGAAGGCGGGUCUCUGGACAGUUCCUGACACUGAGACACGAAGGCCAGGGGAGCAAACGGG
rnacentral:rRNA from 1 species